rnacentral:rRNA from 1 species
UACGGAGGGUGCAAGCGUUAUCCGGAUUCACUGGGUUAAAGGGUGCGUAGGAGGGCAGGUAAGUCAGUGGUGAAAUCUCCAAGCUUAACUUGGAAACUGCCGUUGAUACUAUCUGUCUUGAAUACCGUGGAGGUGAGCGGAAUAUGUCAUGUAGCGGUGAAAUGCGCAGAUAUCAGGAGGAACACCAAUGGCGAAGGCAGCACUCUGGGACGUGACUGACGCUGAGGAGCGAAAGCGUGGGGAGCGAACAGG